UUGGUGAGGUAACGGCUCACCAAGGCAACGAUGGAUAGGGGAACUGAGAGGUUUAUCCCCCACACUGGUACUGAGACACGGACCAGACUCCUACGGGAGGCAGCAGUGAGGAAUAUUGGUCAAUGGAGGCAACUCUGAACCAGCCACGUCGCGUGAAGGAUGACGGCCCUACGGGUUGUAAACUUCUUUUGUAAGGGAAUAAAGUUAGUUACGUGUAACUAUUUGCAUGUACCUUACGAAUAAGGAUCGGCUAACUCCGUGCCAGCAGCCGCGGUAAUACGGAGGAUCCAAGCGUUAUCCGGAUUUAUUGGGUUUAAAGGGUGCGUAGGCGGAAGAUUAAGUCGGUGGUGAAAUUUUGCAGCUCAACUGUAAAAGUGCCAUUGAUACUGGUUUUCUUGAGUAUGGAUGAAGUAGGCGGAAUUUGUGGUGUAGCGGUGAAAUGCAUAGAUAUCACGAGGAACUCCAAUUGCGCAGGCAGCUUACUAAACCAUAACUGACGCUCAGGCACGAAGGCGUGGGGAUCAAACAGGAUUAGAUACCCUGGUAGUCCACGCAGUAAACUAUGAUUACUCGCUGUUUGCGAUACACAGCAAGC
rnacentral:rRNA from 1 species